UACAUGAAGCUGGAGUUACUAGUAAUCGCAGAUCAGAAUGCUGCGGUGAAUGCGUUCCCGGGUCUUGUAAACNCACCGCCCGUCACACCAUGGGAGUCGGAAAUGCCCGAAGUCUGUGACCCAACCUUAGGGAGGGAGCAGCCGAAGGCAGGUCGGAUGACUGGGGUGAAGUCGUAACAAGGUACC
rnacentral:rRNA from 1 species